rnacentral:lncRNA from 1 species
CUUAUCAGCUCAUUUGGUGAGAUCAGAAUGUGCCUGAAUAACUCUGAAGGUUAAAAUAUGUUGACUGAAUUUUCUGCUGCCACCAUUCAGCAGCAGCUAGGCUAUGCCUCUCAUGAUCAUGACACGUAGUGGAAAUUUUCCUGGCUUCUAUACAUCAUCAUCUCUGCCUGAUUGGUUUGCCAUGGCUCUUUGAAACAGUUACUCUUGUCCUCAUUGUAGAGAUGGCGAUACUAAGGCAGAAUAUGGCUAGCCUGGACUUCUUUUUGUGGAGACUGGAUUCCAAGAUUGAAAGUAGAAGCUACAUGUUUUCUCCAAGCAGGGCUUUCAGACUUCACUUCUGCAACAUUUUAUUGAUGAAAGCAAGUCACAAGACCAGACUGAUUCAAGGGGUGGAGAAAUAGACCCUACUUCUUGAUGGAGGGAGGAGUAGAGUUACAUUGCAAAGGGAUCUGGACAAAAAAAGGAGUGAUUUAUUAGGAAUCAUGUUUAACAAUUUACCACAAUCCCCAGCGCAACUGCCUGUUAGCUGGAUCCAGAAAUGUCUACGACUACUGCAAUGCCACUUGGCCUUAGGGGUGAUGUGACCCAGUGUAAAGAGAUGGUGGUCUUAACCAAUCACAGUUAAGAUAGUUUAGUUUUGGAAGGUAUAAAAAAUAUGUAACAACAUGAAUGCACUUUUAGGGUCAGACAAGAGACUUGGAAAGAGCCUGCAAAAUGGAGGAGCCCUGAGGCCUAAGUCUCAUGAGUGUCAAUGCUUACCUGUAUCUAGACACUGGCAUCCCCCUUUUGAUAAGGCCAAGAUUGAUUGUUUUCCUUUUCUACCUACCCUAUAUCUAAUCCAUGUACAAACACUGUUGACACACAAAAGAACCCUAAAUUCAACAAUCUGUGAAGAAUUUUUGCACUAACAUGUUAGUUCAAAAACUCAACAUUGCUUGCUAAGACUAUUGCAAUAAACUCCUCUAUGAUCCCCUAAUUUGAUUCUUGCUCCUCUUAUUUUUUACACAGUCAUCAGAGUAAAUCUUUUCAAAGGUAAAUUGGAUUUUAUGACUUUUCUGCUUCUAAUUAGUUUCAUCUAUACAUUAAAAUAUAUUUCCAAACUAUUCUACACUGGUCUGUCACUGGCCACCUCCAGAAUGUGAUUUUCAACCAUUUUCUCUAUUUUGCUCUCUAUAUCCCUUUCUCUCUGCUCUAUUUUUAUUAUUUUUAACCACUGCUAGAAUAUAAGAUCCAACUUAAGAAGAGAGAUUUUUGUCUAUCAGCUUAUUCCCUGGGCUUAGCCUAGCACAAGGUAGUGGCACAAUAAGCAUUUAUUAAAUAACUAGAUAUUAUAUAAUUAAAAUUUAGCAACAAAUUCUAUAAGAUAUAUAUUAUCAUUCAAUUUGAGUGAAGAAGUUCUGAUGAAAUAAUCAAAAUCACUUUAAGCAUACGAAAGAGUUAAGGCCCAGACAUUAUUC